GAUGAAGAACGUAGCGAAAUGCGAUAAGUAAAGUGAAUUGCAGAAUUCAGUGAAUCAUCGAAUCUUUGAACGCACAUUGCGCCCGCCAGUAUUCUGGCGGGCAUGCCUGUUCGAGCGUCAUUUCAACCCUCAGGCCCCCAGUGCCUGGCGUUGGGGAUCGGCGCGGCGCCCUCCGGGGCGCUGCCGGCCCCGAAAUUCAGUGGCGGUCUCGCUGUAGCCCUCCUCCGCGUAGUAGCACAACCUCGCGGCCUGGAGCUCGGCGGUGGCCAUGCCGUAAAACACCCCACUUCUGAAAGUUGACCUCGGAUCAGGUAGGAAUACCCGCUGAACUUAAGCAUAUCAAUAAGCGGAGGA
rnacentral:misc_RNA from 1 species